ACUCUGGUGGAGGCUCGCAGCGGUUCUGACGUGCAAAUCGAUCGUCAAAUUUGGGUAUAGGGGCGAAAGACUAAUCGAACCAUCUAGUAGCUGGUUCCUGCCGAAGUUUCCCUCAGGAUAGCAGAAACUCACAUCAGUUUUAUGAGGUAAAGCGAAUGAUUAGAGGACUUGGGGAAGUAACUUCCUUAACCUAUUCUCAAACUUUAAAUGUGUAAGAAGCCCUUGUUACUUAAGUGAACGAGGGCAUGCGAAUGAGAGUUUCUAGUGGGCCAUUUUUGGUAAGCAGAACUGGCGAUGCGGGAUGAACCGAACGUUGGGUUAAGGUGCCAAAGUAUACGCUCAUCAGAUACCAGAAAAGGUGUUAUUUAGUCUAGACAGUGGGACGGUGGCCAUGGAAGUCGGAAACCGCUAAGGAGUGUGUAACAACUCACCCACCGAAUUAAGUAGCCCUGAAAAUGGAUGGCGCUCAAGCGUAUCACCGAUACCCAACCGUCAGUGUUUAGCGAAGCGCUGACGAGUAGGCAGGCGUGGGGGUCCGUAUGGAAGCCUUGGCAGUGAUGCUGGGUGGAACGGCCUCUAGUGCAGAUCUUGGUGGCAGUAGCAAAUAUUCAAGUGAGAACCUUGAAGACUGAAGUGAGGAAAGGUUCCACGAUUACAGCAAUUGAACGUGGGUUAGCCGAUCCUAAGAGAUAGGGAAGUUCCGUAUUAAAGUGUGCGCUUGUUCGCACCGUCCUAUCGAAAGGGAAACAGGUUAAAAUUCCUGUGCCGGGAUGUGGAUUUUUGGCGGCAACGCAAACAAACUAGGAGACGUCGGCGGAAGCCCUGGGGAGAGUUCUUUUCUUUUCUUAACGACACGACCCACCUCGGAAUCAAUUUACUUGGAGAAGGGGUAGGUCUGUCGGCAGAGCUAGGUACUUAUGCCUGGUCCGGAGCGCUUUCGACGACCCUUGAAAAUCCUAGGGAGCGAAUAAUUUUCACACCCGGUCGUACUCAUAACCGCAUCAGGUCCUCAAGGUGAACAGCCUCUAGUUGAUAGAAUAAUGUAGAUAAGGGAAGUCGGCAAAUUAGAUCCGUAACUUCGGGAUAAGGAUUGGCUCUAAGGGUUAGGUGGUUAGGGCCUUUGUUGGAAGCGACUGCUGGACCUGUCUGGACUGCUUUGGGCAACUGAGGCGGACCGGACGGGACCGGCGGACGUGGAAGGCAUUGGCAGCCUCGCGGCGUCCUUUCCACAAUUAAUAACCAACUUA
rnacentral:ncRNA from 1 species